UAGCGGCGAGUGAAGCGGCAAAAGCUCAAAUUUGAAAUCUGGCACUUUCAGUGUCCGAGUUGUAAUUUGAAGAAGGUAUCUUUGGGUCUGGCUCUUGUCUAUGUUUCUUGGAACAGAACGUCACAGAGGGUGAGAAUCCCGUGCGAUGAGAUGACCCAGACCUAUGUAAAGUUCCUUCGAAGAGUCGAGUUGUUUGGGAAUGCAGCUCUAAGUGGGUGGUAAAUUCCAUCUAAAGCUAAAUAUUGGCGAGAGACCGAUAGCGAACAAGUACAGUGAUGGAAAGAUGAAAAGAACUUUGAAAAGAGAGUGAAAAAGUACGUGAAAUUGUUGAAAGGGAAGGGCUUGAGAUCAGACUUGGUAUUUUGUAUGUUACUCUYUCGGGGGUGGCCUCUACAGUUUACCGGGCCAGCAUCAGUUUGGGCGGUAGGAGAAUUGCAAAGAAAUGUGGCACUGCCUCGGUAGUGUGUUAUAGUCUUUGUCGAUACUGCCAGCCUAGACUGAGGACUGCGGCUUCGGCCUAGGAUGUUGGCAUAAUGAUCUUAAGUCGCCCGUCUUG
rnacentral:rRNA from 1 species